CAUUGUAUGUGGACACAUGGUUUUAAAAUGUUCUUAUUUUCCCAUUCACAUACCUGAUUUUCUAGAUCCAAAAGAACUCAGGCAGAGACCAUGAAACUAAAGCGGAUCCAGAAGGAGUUGCAGGCUUUAGAUGACAUGGUGUCAGCUGACAUUGGAAUUCUCAGGAACCGGAUUGAUCAGGCCAGCUUAGACUAUUCAUAUGCUCGGAAGCGGUUUGACAGGGCUGAAGCAGAGUACAUUGCAGCAAAGCUAGAUAUACAGCGCAAGACUGAGAUAAAAGAGCAACUCACUGAACACCUUUGUACGAUCAUACAGCAAAAUGAGCUCCGAAAGGCCAAGAAGUUGGAGGAGUUGAUGCAACAACUAGAUGUACAAGCCGAUGAAGAGACUUUGGAGCUUGAGGUGGAGGUCGAGAGAUUGCUACAUGAACAAGAAGUAGAAUCAAGGAGACCAGUGGUUCGUUUAGAG
rnacentral:sRNA from 1 species